ACGCUAGCUACAGGCUUAACACAUGCAAGUCGAGGGGCAGCAUUUUAGUUUGCUUGCAAACUGAAGAUGGCGACCGGCGCACGGGUGAGUAACACGUAUCCAACCUACCGAUAACUCCGGAAUAGCCUUUCGAAAGAAAGAUUAAUACCGGAUAGCAUACGAAUAUCGCAUGAUAUUUUUAUUAAAGAAUUUCGGUUAUCGAUGGGGAUGCGUUCCAUUAGUUUGUUGGCGGGGUAACGGCCCACCAAGACUACGAUGGAUAGGGGUUCUGAGAGGAAGGUCCCCCACAUUGGAACUGAGACACGGUCCAAACUCCUACGGGAGGCAGCAGUGAGGAAUAUUGGUCAAUGGGCGAGAGCCUGAACCAGCCAAGUAGCGUGAAGGAUGAAGGCUCUAUGGGUCGUAAACUUCUUUUAUAUGGGAAUAAAGUUUUCCACGUGUGGAAUUUUGUAUGUACCAUAUGAAUAAGGAUCGGCUAACUCCGUGCCAGCAGCCGCGGUAAUACGGAGGAUCCGAGCGUUAUCCGGAUUUAUUGGGUUUAAAGGGAGCGUAGGUGGAUUGUUAAGUCAGUUGUGAAAGUUUGCGGCUCAACCGUAAAAUUGCAGUUGAAACUGGCAGUCUUGAGUACAGUAGAGGUGGGCGGAAUUCGUGGUGUAGCGGUGAAAUGCUUAGAUAUCACGAAGAACUCCGAUUGCGAAGGCAGCUCACUAGACUGUCACUGACACUGAUGCUCGAAAGUGUGGGUAUCAAACAGGAUUAGAUACCCUGGUAGUCCACACAGUAAACGAUGAAUACUCGCUGUUUGCGAUAUACAGUAAGCGGCCAAGCGAAAGCAUUAAGUAUUCCACCUGGGGAGUACGCCGGCAACGGUGAAACUCAAAGGAAUUGACGGGGGCCCGCACAAGCGGAGGAACAUGUGGUUUAAUUCGAUGAUACGCGAGGAACCUUACCCGGGCUUAAAUUGCAACAGAAUAUAUUGGAAACAGUAUAGCCGUAAGGCUGUUGUGAAGGUGCUGCAUGGUUGUCGUCAGCUCGUGCCGUGAGGUGUCGGCUUAAGUGCCAUAACGAGCGCAACCCUUAUCUUUAGUUACUAACAGGUUAUGCUGAGGACUCUAGAGAGACUGCCGUCGUAAGAUGUGAGGAAGGUGGGGAUGACGUCAAAUCAGCACGGCCCUUACGUCCGGGGCUACACACGUGUUACAAUGGGGGGUACAGAAGGCGGCUACCUGGUGACAGGAUGCUAAUCCCAAAAACCUCUCUCAGUUCGGAUCGAAGUCUGCAACCCGACUUCGUGAAGCUGGAUUCGCUAGUAAUCGCGCAUCAGCCAUGGCGCGGUGAAUACGUUCCCGGGCCUUGUACACACCGCCCGUCAAGCCAUGAAAGCCGGGGGUACCUGAAGUACGUAACCGCAAGGAGCGUCCUAGGGUAAAACUGGUAAUUGGGGCUAA
rnacentral:rRNA from 1 species